rnacentral:rRNA from 1 species
AUUGAACGCUGGCGGCAGGCCUAACACAUACAAGUCGAGCGAGCGGCGGACGGGUGAGUAAUGUCUGGGAAACUGCCUGAUGGAGGGGGAUAACUACUGGAAACGGUAGCUAAUACCGCAUACCAUCAGAUGUGCCCAGAUGGGAGUAGCUAGUAGGUGGGGUAACGGCUCACCUAGGCGACGAGCCCUAGCUGGUCUGAGAGGAUGACCAGCCACACGUGAACGGAGACACGGUCCAGACGCCUACGGGAGGCAGCAGUGGGUAAUAUUGCACAAUGGUCGAAAGGCGGAUGCAGCCAUGCCGCGUGUGUGAAGAAGGCCUUCGGGUUGUAAAGCACUUUCAGCGGGGAGGCGUUACCCGCAGAAGAAGCACCGGCUAACUCCGUGCCAGCAGCCGCGGUAAUAC